ensembl:lncRNA
UGGCUCUGAAAAGAGCCUUUGGGUUAAAUGUGCAGACGCUUACUUGGGAAGUUUACUUUGAGCUAGUAUACUUGGUGACAGCCUUAGUACCCUCAGACACCGCAUGCUUUGCCAGCUCCCCAGGCAGAAGCAGUCGAACUGCUGUCUGGAUCUCUCUAGAUGUGAUGGUUGAGUGCUUACUGUAAUGGGCUAGGCGUGACGCUUCUCCUGCGAUGCGCUCAAAUAUGUCAGUCACGAAAGAAUUCAUGAUGCUCAUAGCUUUCGACGAAAUACCAGUGUCAGGAUGAACCUGCUUCAGCACCUUGUAAAUGUAGAUAGAGUAGCUUUCCUUCCGGCACCUCUUGCGUUUCUUUCCCUCUUUCUUCUGAGUUUUAGUUACAGCCUUCUUGAAACCCUUCUUAGAGAUAGUAGCACCUUUUGAAGAUAACUCCGGCAUGAUCGGUAUACAGCUCUAUGAGAGUUAACAGCUCAAGAGUUACAGCUUGAAGAACUACCGCCCACGCCAAGCAAGCGAAGAACGGCUGUGGGAGUGGAAAGACUGGUAUUUAUAGGCGCGGCGCUCGAGUGACGUGUGGAGGAACCAAUAUCUGAUUGGAUAGUGGGUAGUGGCGUGUAUGUAAAUGAGGUGAUUGCAGUAGGACUUUCUGAUUGGAUAGACGGCCAUCAGCCAAUCAGAGAGCACAUUACAACCUACUGUCAGACUAUAAAUGGGCCCAGUAGCGUCUUUUUCAGUUGCGGUUUACCCGCCAUCUGUAGAGAGAUGUCUGGGUGUGGGAAGCAGAGGGGCAAGGCUCACGCUAAGUCGAGGUCUCGCUCUUCCAGAGCAGGCUUGCAAUUUGUGGUGGGCUAAGUUCAUCGACUGCUCUGUAAGGGACACUAUGCUGAGUGUGUUGGAGCUGGUGCACCCACUUGUUUAGCAGCCGUGUUAGACUGACAGCUGAGGUCUUAGAGUUAGCGGGUAACGCCUCUCACAACAGGAAGUAGAUACGGAUUAUCCCGCGUCGUUUGCAGCUGGCUAUUCGCAACGAUGAGGAGCUGAGCAAACUGUUGGGUGGUGUGAUCAUCGCCCAAGGAGGUGUCCUGCCGAAGAAGCCUGAGAGCUAGCAUCAGAAAGUACAGAGCAGGUAGACUCUCUAGGAAGCUACACUGGGCAACCUGAACGUCUGGGGAGUGAAGAAACAAAGGCUCUUUUCAGAGCCGCUCAUAUUGUCAAUGAAGACUGUGCAUAGGCUGCAGAGCGGCAGUAAUUGUGCCAUUUGUGGCAACAGACUGCUUAAGACACCAAGAGGAAUUGGGAAGCAAAUGAACAUUUAAUGGGAUUCCAUCCCCUAUAAUGGAGUUCGGUCUGGAUGGUCUCAAUAGCACAGUCUCAAGGCUGCAUCCUUGAAGUGACUCCUUGAAGGAACAGGGGGUGGGACUUAGAUUCGAAGGACAGUGGAGUGGGUAAAGAGCCUUUGUUCACCUGGGUUCAGUUGACUGCUCAACUGACAGUCAGGUUCUCUCAAUGACCACCUCCAACACUCCACACCUGGUGACUGGCUCUUAACACCAUUACAUGUCUCCUUUAUUCUGCAAUGUGCCCUGAGUGAUCAGCAAGGGGUUUGAUUAGUGUGGAGGUGGCUUGUUUGGUGGAUAUCUGUCUGCACUGGAGGCAGAUAGCCCAGCAGCAAUAAGGCAUAUGCAAGAGAAAACAGAUAAUGAUU